CGUUAUUGCAUAUUUAUCUAAAAUUCAAACUGAACUAGGACGCUGCCUGUGCAUUUGCUCAGUCUGGCAUUCCUUCCUGUGAAUCUGCACCACAGCCUCGGGAGAGCCACCCUGUCCUGUUAUAGGGGCCCCUCUGACACCUCACUGCAGGCUCUCGGCUGUCCUGGCCUCUGCUCACACCAGUACAGGAAGCCUGGUUGGUUUGGGACAGCUGAGCCUGGGGCCUCCCCGCCUGACCAUGCUGUUCCCUCAGCUUCCUAUUGCAGAUGCCCCCACCCCCACAGUGCCUGCCCUUGCCACCGCACCACCCCUCAGCCAUGCCCAGAGUGGGCAUCUAGACUCACACCUGCGUGCUCUGCCUUCCUCUGCCUCCUCCCUCAUGGCCCCCCAGGGAGCCAGAAACGAGAACCAGAUCUCUGUCUCUUCAUUCGGAUGCAUGCCUCAGACCAGCUGGAGGAAAAGCAAAAAGCACAUGUAAAACUUUCAAGCCUGGACCUGUUGGCUCAUGCCUGUAAAAUUCCAGCACUUUGGGAGGCCAAGGAGGAAGGAUCGCUUGAGCUCAGGACUUGGAAAGCAGCCUCAGCAAUAUGGAGAAACUCCAUCUCUCCAAAAAAUACAAAAAAUUAUCCUGGCUUGGCGGUGUGUGCCUGUGGUCCCAGCUACUCCGGAGACACAUCUCUAAAGAAAAUUAGCCAGGCGUUAUGGUACACACCUGGAUUCCCAGCUACUCUGGAGGCUUAGGCAAGAGGAUAGCUUGAGCCAGGAGUGAGGCUGCAGUGAGCUAAAGCAGCAUCACUACACUCCAGCCUGGGUGACAAAGCAAGGGCCUGUCUCUUAAAAAAAUCUGAACCAGCUGGGCGUGGGAACACACUCCUGUAAUCCCAGCACUUUAGGAGUCCAACAUGUAUGAAUCACUUGAGCCCAGGAGUUCAAGACCAGCCUGGGCAAUGUGGCAAAACCCCGUCUCUAACGAAAAAUACAAAAAAUUAGCCAGGCAUGGUGGCAUACGCCUGUAGUCCCAGCUACUCCGGAGACUUAAGUGGGAAGCUUGCUUGAGCCCAGGAGGUCAAGGCUGCAGUGAGCUGAGAUGCCACCACUGCGCUCCAGCCUGGGUGACAGAGCGAGACCCUGUCUUCAAAAAAAAAAAAAAAAAACUUGAGACACACACAAAAAAAC
rnacentral:lncRNA from 13 species